CUUAAUAAUCUGCUGGUAUUUAGUGUGUAAGGAGUAUAUUUAUGUGUCAUGUUCCCUGAAUUUCAGAUGAGGUUUUGGCAGUAAUUUCUGAUACUGAGGAGGAAGACAAAGAGGAGGAGGAAGAGUUGGAAGUGGAGGAGGUAGAAAUGGAAGAGCCUACCACCAACACCCAGAAGUCUCCAGUAGUAAUUGUUAUUGAUGAUGAUGAUGAUGAUGAUGAUGGCAACAAUAAGAAGUGGGAAAUUCCUGAGCUAAAAGAAGGGGAUUCCCAUAAUUACAGCCAAAUUUAUUCAUAUAAAAGGGAAGUGCAUGAGUCUGUUGCCUCCCAACAAAAUUCACCUGAUAAUGUUCCACUGGGUAAUGAUCCUGAGGCUAACCUAGAAAUUAUAGAUCAAGAGUUGCCAACUACUGACAAGCUCAUAUCUGUGACGGAACAACCGAGGAAAAGGAAAACCAGUAAAACAUGUGUGGCACCUGCUGAUAGUGGACGAAAAAACCAAGCAUCUUCAGAGAAGAAAGCCAGUGCAGCAAAAGCUGACAAGUGCAAGACUGGGAGAGCUGUGUGCCAAAUACCCGGAUGCUUCUUACUUGACAUUGAAAAGUUAAACAUAUUCUGGAAAGAAUUUCAAGAAAAAUAAGGAUGAACUGGUUCAAAGAAUCUACACACUGCUUAACAACACCAUCUUUGAUCAAAAGGUAGAAUCGAUGCAUUAAGAUUUAUUGAGCAUCUUCUGUAUGAUGGCACUCUUACAG
rnacentral:lncRNA from 1 species